UAGAUUUACCCGUUGUCGUACGACAACCGAAGUUAAGCAACGUUGAGCCUGGUCAGUAGCUAGAUGUGUGACCGCUUGGGAAUACAUGGGGCUGUAAG